rnacentral:lncRNA from 1 species
CAGGCAUGAGCCACCGCGUCCAGCCUGCAGUGGUUUUCUUACUACUUUUUACAAUCAAAUUGAUUAAGGCAUUGGUUGAAUAUGGUACAAUGCAUCCAUUUCAAGUUUGACGACAUGUCUACUACUCCAGAAGGUCCUCUUGUGCCCUUUGCAGUCAGUCCCCUCGACUCCCUGACCCCAGCAAUUAAUGAUGUAUUUUCUGCCACUAUACAGGUUAGUUUCACCUGUUCCAGAAAUUCACCUUGAUGGCACCACAUAGAAUGCACUCUUUUCAUCACUCAGCAUGAGGUUUUUGAGAUUGGCCCAUGCUAUCUCAUGUUUCCAUAAUUUGUCCCAUCUUAUUGAGGGUAGUACUCCGUUGGAUGAAUAUAUCACAAUAGGUCCAUUCACCUCUUGAUGCAUAUGAACCUUUUCCAGUUUGGGGACUAUUGUAAACAAAGCUGCUAAGAACAAGUUCUUUUUGUGAAUAUAUGUUUUGUAAAUUCCACUUGUCAUUCUUUAGUAUUAACUGAUUUUGUAAAAUGAUGUCACCUUCACAAGUGCAAAAUUCAUUCAAAUGUUACAGAGGCCUGAAGCAUAAGUCUACACAAUUUCCUUUGUUAUAUUUCAUAAUUAAGGGGAAAAAACUUUAUCUGGGAUGUUGUUUCCUAUCAGCAAAUCCUUAAUGUAAGCCAUACAGGAUGCUAGCUGUACUAUUAGACUAUCUUCUGUAAUCUGUGCAAUAACUCUAAGAAGUACUUCGUAUUAUUAUUUUCCUGUAACACUUUCCAACUUGAAGCCUAGCAAAUUGAAGGACCUGGCCCCAGGUCAAACAGAAGGCAAGCGGCAGCGCCAGGACUGGAAGAAGGCCUUCCCAAAGGCAGACAGAAGCUCACGUCUCUGUCAGAACCUCGGUAUUUCUGAUGCGCCUGGAAGCCAAUAUCCAAGCCGUUCUCAGCCACUGGAUUGGUGGGCUGCUUUGCUCAGAAACUCCUCGAUCAGGAAUCCCAAGCAUACGUUAGUGAUGACGGUCCCAAAACAAGGGACAUUUCUUAACCAUUCUAAAAACCCGUUUGCUCAUCAGUAACGCAAUAAGAGUUGCUUUCGGUCUUGGUUCAUAUAUUUUAUAUUUGAGCAAGGCAAUGUCCGCUGCUGGGGUUAGAAGUAAAUGGCUCCUCUUCAGCAAACUAGAUCAGUCCGUGGGACGUACGGCUUCCACUCGCAGUGUCCUGAACACUGGCUGGGCUUCCUGUGCGUUCUAGCCGGUUUUCUUUGGAGCCGCGGGUUUCUGCACGGCUCCGGGGUCGGGAUGGCAGAGGCUUCUCGGAACACGCGGAUCUAUGAGUGCAGUCCCCGGGGUAGCCACCAGGGAACGCCAUAGGCUUUCCCGCUGUGUUCCUCCUUGCCUUUUCCGUUUGGGCCAAGUAGUUUCUAUUGACCAUGACAUUACAGAUCAGAAGUGGGUGGGGUCAGAAAACACACCCUGGGAGAAGCUGGCAAAAUGCCCAGAACCGCCAUCACUAGGCCUGGGGUUUUCUUCUGUAGUGGAAUUCUCGUGCUUAUGUAGUACAGGGAGGAGCGCAGCGCAUUUCCGCCAAGACAGGUGAGACUGCAGUUCUGACCUGCGGGCCUCGAUGAAUUGCUUUAGGGCCCCUGGGCGCCGGCAGAGCCGAUCUCCUACACAAAGCAAGCGUGUUAUGUCUACGACCGAACGGGGACACUAAGAAAGAGCCCCAAAGGCCCUGCUUUCAUCCCAAAGAACAGCGCCUGUCUGCGUAGUUUCUACCUUGCUCUAUGAGUGCAUCAGUUUAAGAGAAGACAUGAGAUCAUGGGUUUAAGUGAGGCUUCAUCAUACUAAGACAACGUGAUCAGGUACAAGUCGGUGAUUAAAGUGCAGAACAACUUCCCCAAUACAGGAAUCCAGCUUCUGAAAAUAUCUGUGCUGGAAAACUUGCAAUGGAGGAAUGGAAGACUUGAGAAAGGGAGGGCUGGGAAACAAGAGCUGUGACUCACCCUGAAGACAUUCGUAAAUAUCUAUUUUAAUAUCUAUUACAAUACAGCAAUAAAGGCAAACUAAAAAAGGCUAUACAAGGCAUUUUGCACAUCUUCAUUUACUGGGUUCUCUGAAGCCCAUUUCCUGUUAAUAUCUUUUGCUGGAAGAAUCUUCUCAGGAUCUCCCCUUCUGUCUGUUCCAACCAGACUCCCGUACAUUCAUUUUCGUUCCUCGUGGGUAAUACACCCACUGAGAGACAUGUUCCUUUGCUUUUUUUUUCUUCUUAGGGGGUUUCUCCACAAGAUUCCUGGUUGAGUUGAUGGAGUGAAGGUCUGUCUGUCCCCCAAUUUUUUUUUU